rnacentral:rRNA from 1 species
AAUGAACGCUGGCGGCAGGCCUAACACAUGCAAGUCGAACGAGGCAGCAAUGCCUAGUGGCGGACGGGUGAGUAACGCGUGGGAACGUGCCGCUUGGUACGGAAUAGCCCUGGGAAACUGGGAGUAAUACCGUAUGUGGUCGAGAGAAGAAAGAUUUAUCGCCAAGGGAUCGGACCGCGUUGGAUUAGGUAGUUGGUGGGGUAAUGGCCUACCAAGCCGACGAUCCAUAGCUGGUUUGAGAGGAUGAUCAGCCACACUGGGACUGAGACACGGCCCAGACUCCUACGGGAGGCAGCAGUGGGGAAUCUUAGAAAAUGGGGGAAACCCUGAUCUAGCCAUGCCGCGUGAUCGAUGAAGGCCUUAGGGUUGUAAAGAUCUUUCAGUGGGGAAGAUAAUGACGGUACCCACAGAAGAAGCCCCGGCUAACUCCGUGCCAGCCGCCGCCGUAA